ACGGCUCAGUAACACGUGGACAACCUACCCUAAGGAGGGGGAUAACCCCGGGAAACUGGGGAUAAUACCCCAUAGAUUAUGGAUGCUGGAAUGCUCUAUAGUUGAAAGGUCCGCCGCCUUAGGAUGGGUCUGCGGCCGAUUAGGUUGUUGUUGGGGUAACGGCCCAACAAGCCUGUAAUCGGUACGGGUUGUGGGAGCAAGAGCCCGGAGAUGGAUUCUGAGACACGAAUCCAGGCCCUACGGGGCGCAGCAGGCGCGAAAACUUUACAAUGCGGGAAACCGUGAUAAGGGGACUCCGAGUGCCCGUUAAAUCGGGCUGUCCACCAGUUUAAAUAACUGGUGAAGAAAGGGCCGGGCAAGACCGGUGCCAGCCGCCGCGGUAAUACCGGCGGCUCGAGUGGUGGCCACUAUUACUGGGCUUAAAGCGUUCGUAGCUGGUCUGUUAAGUCUCUGGGGAAAUCUACCGGCUUAACCGGUAGGCGUCUCAGGGAUACUGGCAGACUAGGGACCGGGAGAGGUGAGGGGUACUCCAGGGGUAGGAGUGAAAUCCUGUAAUCCUUGGGGGACCACCUGUGGCGAAGGCGCCUCACCAGAACGGCUCCGACAGUGAGGGACGAAAGCUGGGGGAGCAAACCGGAUUAGAUACCCGGGUAGUCCCAGCUGUAAACGAUGCGCGUUAGGUGUAUCGGUGACCACGAGUCACCGAGGUGCCGAAGAGAAAUCGUGAAACGUGCCGCCUGGGAAGUACGGUCGCAAGGCUGAAACUUAAAGGAAUUGGCGGGGGAGCAC
rnacentral:rRNA from 1 species